AGGGCACCACCAGGAGUGGAGCCUGCGGCUUAAUUUGACUCAACACGGGAAAUCUUACCCGGCCCGGACACUGGAAGGAUUGACAGAUUGAGAGCUCUUUCUUGAUUCAGUGGGUGGUGGUGCAUGGCCGUUCUUAGUUGGUGGAGCGAUUUGUCUGGUUAAUUCCGAUAACGAACGAGACUCUAGCCUACUAAAUAGACUGUUCAGCUUUAUAGCCGGAAUCACUGGGCGUGUAGCUCUCCGCAAGGGGGGUUGCAUGUUCGGCUCUGGUGACGUUGGCAGUGCUUCUUAGAGGGACAGGCGGCGGUUCAGCCGCACGAAACAGAGCAAUAACAGGUCUGUGAUGCCCUUAGAUGUCCGGGGCUGCACGCGCGCUACACUGAAGUGAUCAGCGUGCAAUUUACGUUUGGUGAUCUGUCAAGAUUGCCCAACCCGUUGAACCUUCUUCGUGAUUGGGAUAGGGGAUUGUAAUUAUUCCCCCUGAACGAGGAAUUCCCAGUAAGCGCAAGUCAUAAGCUU
rnacentral:rRNA from 1 species